rnacentral:rRNA from 1 species
CCUACGGGAGGCAGCAGUGGGGAAUAUUGCACAAUGGGCGUAACCCUGAUCCAGCGACGCCGCGUGGGUGAAGGAGCGUUUCGGCGCGUUAAGCCCUAUUGGUAGGGAAGUAGAUGACGGGACCUGACCCAGAAGCCCCGGCUAACUCCGUGCCAGCAGCCGCGGUAAUACGUAGGGGGCAAGCGUUAUCCGGAUUUACUGGGCGUAAAGGGGGCGUAGGCGGCAAUGCAAGCCAGGAGUGAAAGCUCGGGGCCCAACCCCGGGACUGCUGUUGGAACUGGAUGGCUGGAGUACAGGAGGGGCAGGCGGAAUUCCUGGUGUAGCGGUGAAAUGCGUAGAUAUCGCGCAGAACGCCGAUUGCGAAGGCAGCGUACCGGCGCCAGACUGACGCUGAGGCACGAAAGCGUGGGGAUCGAACAGGAUUAGAUACCCUUGUAGUC